AUUGAACGCUGGCGGCAGGCCUAACACAUGCAAGUCGAACGAGUGGCGGACGGGCGAGUAAUGUCUGGGAAACUGCGUGAUGUAGGGGGAAAACGACUGGAAAAGGUGGCAAAUACCGCAUACGCUACGAUGUGGCCAGCAUGGAGUAGCUUGUGGGUGGGGUAACGGCUCACCAAGGCGAAGCUCCCCAGCUGGACUGAGAGGCUGACCAGCCACACUGGAACUGAGACACGGUCCAGACUCCUACGGGCGGCAGCAGUGGGGAAUAUUGCGCAAUGGACGAAAGCCUGAUGGAGCUAUGCCGCGUGAGUGAAGAAGGCCUUCGGAUUGUAAAAUUCUUUUAGCGGGGAAGCGUUACCCAAACAGAAAGCACCGGCUAACUACGUGCCAGCAGCCGCGGUAAUAC
rnacentral:rRNA from 1 species